UCCUCCGUAUGAGCAUUUAUUGGGCACCUGUGUACCAGAUCCCUGUGGUGAAACCCGUUCAAUUUCACACCAGCCUGGAAGGGAUUCUCCCAUUUUGCAGAGGGGAAAAUGAAGGCCCUCAGCGGCCGGCACUCCAAAGUAACGGACUCCUGUUUCCCCAGGAGUGAAAACGGGCGACACGGAGAUGGAGGUGGGAGCUGUUAAUUGAAUCCUGACGUGGUAUCUGGGUCGUGUCCGUCGGUGGAGCCCGCCUGGGCAAAACGUUCCUGGAGACACAGUGGCAUGUGGGCACCUCUGGGCCCGGGACGCAGCUCCAUCUCCUCCGUGAGGGGCCGUGGAAGAACUGCUGCGCCGCGGCGCGGACCCCAACCUGGUGCUCGCGGAUGGCGUGGCAGCCAUGCACCUGGCGGCCAGAGCCCGGCACUCGCGCGGUCUGCGCUGCCUGGAGGCCCUACUGCACCGGGGCGGGGAUGCUAACGCUCGAUCGGUCGAGGCGCUCACGCCGCUGCACGUGGCUGCCGCCUGGGGCUGUCGCCGCGGCCUGGAGCUGCUGCUGGGCCAUGGAGCGGACCCGACGCUGCGCGACCAGGUGGGAGCCCAGCGCCCGCAGUGGCGGGGCGGACCCGGAGGGAGCGAGGAAGGGAGGGAAAAGGGCCUCGGGUGCCCCCUGCUGACCAAGCCGCCGCAGGACGGACUCGGGCCGCUGGACCUGGCGGAGCAGCAGGGGCACCAGGAUUGCGCACACGUCCUUCGGGAACUCCAGACUCGGACGAAGACAUCGACCCGGACCCGGGCAGAGAGCCAGAAGCCUGAGCCUGAGCCCGAGCCUGGCGGCCCAAGCCCCUGGGGAAAGGGGCUGGACGCCAGCCCCUCUGGACUUCCCAAUGUGACGCUGGGCUUCAUAGCACUGGGCAGAAGUGAUGGCAGGGACAUAGGCCUGGAAGCUGGCCCCAGACUCCCCAGCCACCUGGCCUGCCCUGAGAUUGCUGACAAGGAUAGCAGCUUGGAGUACCCCCCAGGACAGUGGGACUGCAGCUCAGAUGCCUCCUUUGUCACUGCGAUUGAAGCUUCUGGAACUGAAGACCCAGCCCCGCACACCUCCUCCUGGGCUAGGUCAUCUCGCCAGACCAAGCAGAGACUCAUGCCUACUAUUCGACCUUCCCAGAGGACGCCAAGGUCCCCAGGUACCCCACAGCUGGUACAUCGAGCUGCUGCGGCAGACAGGGAGGCAGAACUAAAUACCUGUCUGCAGGCCCUGACUCUGACUUCGCCAGAUGCCUCCCCCUCCCCCCAAGCCCUCCCCGAUGGGAGCCCUGCGCAGAGCCCCCCUCGGGAGCCACUGCCUGGACUCCCCCAUGUUCACUUCCUGAAAGACGAAGAGUUGUCCCUCGACAGUGAUGUGGCUGCCCUCUGGCUGACAGAGGAUGAGGCGAGCCCCACAGGGGGCAGGGACCCUGCCCCCUCUCGCUGGUGCCCUCCAGUCCCUGCCAUGACAGACCUGGAGGUACUUCGAGGGCUCCGAGCACUUGGCAAGAACCCUGGCCCCAUCACACCCUUCACUCGGAUGUACCACCCCCGACGGCUGGAAGAAGCCCGUGCUGCUCCUGGCUCAGACUUUUCAGGGCACAGCCCAGAGCUGGCCGAAGCCCUGCGGACAGGCUGUAUCCCAGAUGCCCAGGCAGAUGAGGAUGUGCUUGCCCAGCAGUUUGAGCGGCCGGACCCCAAGAGAAGGUGGAGGGAGGGGGUCGUGAAGUCCAGCUUCACGUAUCUACUGCUGGACCCCAGGGAGACUCAGGACCUGCCAGCCCGAGCCUUCUCACUGACCCCAGCUGAACGCCUUCGGACUUUUGUCCAUGCCAUCUUCUAUGUGGGGAAAGGGACACGGGCCCGGCCAGAUGUCCACCUCUGGGAGGCCCUCAGCCACCGUCGACAGCCAGGAAAGCAGGCCUGCCCCAAAGUGCGCCAGAUCUUGGACAUCUGGGCCAGUGGUCGUGGUGUUGUCUCCCUGCAUUGCUUCCAACAUGUGGUUGCUGUGGAGGCUUAUACUCGAGAGGCGUGUCUUGUGGAUGCUCUAGGCAUCCAGACACUGACCAACCAGAGACAAGGACACUGCUAUGGAGUGGUGGCAAGCUGGCCACCCACCCGGCGACGCCGCUUGGGGGUGCAUCUGCUGCACCGCGCCCUCCUUGUCUUCUUGGCCGAGGACGCAGGGGACUCACGUGAGGGAUGGACUGGCGGACUCUGCCCAAGUCAAGAGCCAGAUUUCUCUGCUUCCCGGCUAUGGGACCCCGGGCCAGGAAUUUGUCGCUCUGAGGCUCAGUUUCCUUACUUUGUACAGUGGGGACAGUGAGGAGUGCUACCUCAGAGGGUCAUUGUGGAGAUGGGAGUAAACGAAGCCAUGCAGUGCAAUAUGUGGUUCAGAGCCCGGCACUGAGCCAGAGGCAGCCCGUCUGCCCUGGUGGAAAGUCUCUUGGGGAAGGGAGGUGCCAUGAUGCUCUCCAGGGGCCGGCUGUGUGUGGUGAUAUGUGGGCAGAGCUGGGGAGGUCGACAGGGUGUGGGUGAGCGACCAGCCCUCCCCAGGAUAGCUGUGCAACUCGGGCCUCCGGACAUUGUUUCUCUGCCACUGUUUCUUCCACCAUAAAACGGAAUAACUAACCGCCACUUCCUGGCGAUGCUGUACCACAUCAGACUUCACAUAUGCUUAGAGCUUUAGUAAAUGCCAAGCUGUCAUCCUGUCUCUUGUACCCAUCUGA